UGUUGAGUGGUACUUGGUUGGC
rnacentral:siRNA from 1 species